UAAAACCUGCAGGAUAUUAUCCCACAUCUUCUGAAUGCAACCC
rnacentral:tRNA from 1 species